UACAGAGGGGGCAAGCGUUGUUCGGAAUUACUGGGCGUAAAGGGCGCGUAGGCGGCCUUCUAAGUCGAACGUGAAAUCCCCGGGCUCAACCCGGGAACUGCGUCCGAUACUGGAAGGCUUGAAUCCGGGAGAGGGAUGUGGAAUUCCAGGUGUAGCGGUGAAAUGCGUAGAUAUCGAGAAGAACACCGGUGGCGAAGGCGGCCAUCUGGACGGUGACUGACGCUGAGACGCGAAAGCGUGGGGAGCAAACAGG
rnacentral:rRNA from 1 species